GAUGAACGCUGGCGGCGUGCCUAAUACAUGCAAGUCGAGCGAACAGACGAGGAGCUUGCUCCUCUGACGUUAGCGGCGGACGGGUGAGUAACACGUGGAUAACCUACCUAUAAGACUGGGAUAACUUCGGGAAACCGGAGCUAAUACCGGAUAAUAUAUUGAACCGCAUGGUUCAAUAGUGAAAGACGGUUUUGCUGUCACUUAUAGAUGGAUCCGCGCCGCAUUAGCUAGUUGGUAAGGUAACGGCUUACCAAGGCAACGAUGCGUAGCCGACCUGAGAGGGUGAUCGGCCACACUGGAACUGAGACACGGUCCAGACUCCUACGGGAGGCAGCAGUAGGGAAUCUUCCGCAAAGGGCGAAAGCCUGACGGAGCAACGCCGCGUGAGUGAUGAAGGUCUUCGGAUCGUAAAACUCUGUUAUUAGGGAAGAACAAAUGUGUAAGUAACUAUGCACGUCUUAACGGUACCUAAUCAGAAAGCCACGGCUAACUACGUG
rnacentral:rRNA from 1 species